CCUACGGGAGGCAGCAGUGGGGAAUAUUGCACAAUGGGCGCAAGCCUGAUGCAGCAACGCCGCGUGAGGGACGACGGCCUUCGGGUUGUAAACCUCUUUUAGUAGGGAAGAAGCGAAAGUGACGGUACCUGCAGAAAAAGCACCGGCUAACUACGUGCCAGCAGCCGCGGUAAUACGUAGGGUGCAAGCGUUAUCCGGAAUUAUUGGGCGUAAAGAGCUCGUAGGCGGUUUGUCGCGUCUGCUGUGAAAACUGGAGGCUCAACCUCCAGCCUGCAGUGGGUACGGGCAGACUAGAGUGCGGUAGGGGAGAUUGGAAUUCCUGGUGUAGCGGUGGAAUGCGCAGAUAUCAGGAGGAACACCGAUGGCGAAGGCAGAUCUCUGGGCCGUAACUGACGCUGAGGAGCGAAAGCAUGGGGAGCGAACAGGAUUAGAUACCCUGGUAGUCCAUGCCGUAAACGUUGGGAACUAGAUGUAGGGACCAUUCCACGGUUUCUGUGUCGCAGCUAACGCAUUAAGUUCCCCGCCUGGGGAUACGGCCGCAAGGCUAAAACUCAAAGGAAUUGACGG
rnacentral:rRNA from 1 species